rnacentral:lncRNA from 1 species
AUGAGAUUUUUUAUCCUCCUCGUAGUUUCAGUCGCUGUGUGUGAUGCUGAGGUGAAGUUGGAGGCAACUGACGGAGAAAAUGUCAUCAUAUCCUUCAAAACUGCUGAACUGGAGAGAGCCGAGCGAGUGCGGAUAACUUUUACAGGAGAAAAUCAGAAAACCUUGAUUGCGCAAUUCUGUCGCUGUGUCCAUUGUGGGGACUGUGAUGUCGUGGAAACACCGGGAGUCUUACUGCGAGUUGAAGAAGGAACCUUAAUUCUUCUAAAUGUCAGCUCCGAAAGCUCAGGCCUCUAUGAAGCACAAGUCUUCAAUGGAAACAAUGUGUCUGAGAUAAAAGCUACACUUGUUGUGAAAAAACCUGCAUUUUCCUCCACUAAAGCACCACACCAGAUCUCCACCCCAAAUCCUCCCAACUCCUCUGGACACCUGUGGCUGUGCGCUUUACUGAUUCCUCUAGUCAUCUUGGGGGUGGUUUGUUUCUUCUGAAAGAAGAAAUGCAGGAGGGCAAGUAUUACUUGAGUUUAUUCUUUUAUAGAUGGAAAUGAGCUGCGCUUUUCUAAUGAUCUGGGACUAUUCACCAAAAAUUAUGAGGCUAAAAGUUGCUCCUAAUGUGGAAAUAUUGUUCUUAAUUGUAGGACUCGUAUAUUUUAUAUCUAAGACUGAUUCCCCAAGUAUUUAAAUAAAAAAAAAGGUCUCAAAGUACAUUUUUCUAAUUCUAAAGAAUUAAUGUGGCUAGGAGAAAUUAAUUUGCCAUUAAUUCACCAUUAGUCAGUGUUUAAUUAUGAUGUUCAUGUAUGGAGCGAGUAGAUGAAAGUUAAGUUUAUUGUAAAACUGAAUGAUUGCCUGUUUUUAAACCAGUUGAAGAAUAAUGUGGUGCAAAUAAAAAUGAUCAUUACUAAAUGAUUUGCUUGUUUUGUUGUUUAAAAUAAUGUUAAAAGGGUCUGUUUUAAAUGUAUACACCUGAAAUGUAUUUAGCUUUGACUUCUGCACCUUUUAUAUUUGAUUUGAUUUGCAUCUUGUAACAGUGUUUUGUGUGUUGACUGUCAGGAACGUGAGCCAUUACCUGAUGUUGAAGAAGCCAGAGGAACCCCUGCUGUCUCCAGGUAUGAAGCUCCUCUCCGAUCUGUGGAUUUCCUCGGGUCUUUUUAUGCAUCGCAUGACUUUUUCAUAAAGGAUAUUUGCCAUGUUGGGCCUCACUGAAGUCAGUUUUCUGUUCUUUACAGACACAGCAUCUUCAAAAAAAAUAAGUGUAAAAGAAAUGGCAGUGACUGUGUAGCUGUCUCCUUUAAGGCUUGUAGAGAAGACACUGAAGAUCAGCUCGUGGAUACCUGACUUGAUGCUGAGUGUCCUGACUGCAAGCGACGUCUCACACUGCCUCUUGAACUGAGGCGUCAAAACCACAUUUAGUUUUUUGAUUUUAUGGGAAAAUAGACAAUCUGAAAGCUGAGACUUUUUCUUAUCAGAAGUAACAAAGCACUUUGCGAUUACUGGAUGGGAGGUACAUUAGAAAUAAUGUUAAAUGAAGGGAAAAUCCAAACACUUUAGCCUUAAUCAGACUCUUGGUCUAGAUCUGGUUUUUGUGGAUGUCUGAUUGGAAUCUGAUCAUAUUUAGUAAAACUGUGAACACCAGACACAACCGUUGUCACAUGUUAACAUCUAGAAGCAGUCUACUCUAGACAACUCAACAUCAUCGCCAUAGAAACCAAUGCAGAUAUUCCAGAAAAUGAAAGACAAUCCAUCAUUUAGAUACGAUUUCAAUCAGAUACACAAAUACUCUGAUUUGGACUGAGAGAUAAUCAGGACUGCUGAGAGGAUCAUUGGUGCCCAACCUCCAAGAUCUUUACACUUCCAGAGUGAGGAAAAGAGCUGGUAAAAUCACUCUGGACCCAGCACACUCUCUCUUUCAACUGUUGCCUUCUGGCCGGCACUGCAGAGCACACUGCCCCAAAGCAAGAACACACACAUUAUUAGUGUUUUUAUUACCUUAAAUUAGAUGCAUGUCUGUGCUGGAAGCUCCUGACACCAAGACAAAUUCCUUGUGUGUGUAAACACUUGCCAAUAAAGCUCUUUCUGAUUCUGAGAGUGAGAAUGUAGUCUUUGAGGCCAAACUAUCAGAUGCUCUUAUUUAUUCUUCAUCACAAGAAUGCAUAAUGUUAUCAGGUAUUAACCACAAUUGUCUUUCUUGUCAGAGUGCUGAAACACCGAGGCAGACUAGCUUUAGAUUUUCACAAGUGCUUUCCAGUUUUGUGUGCAAUAUAAAUCAGAUGUCAUAUAAAAGUUAUAUAAUAUAUCAAAUUGAUUCACUCAAAAACAAAGAUUUAAAGGGGAAAGUAAGAUUUCUCUGUACUUCUUUGUGUGCACAUAUUUUUAUAAAUGUAUUGUCAUUUUUUAGUAUCUUGUUGAUUUGUUGUCAAAGUCUAUCUCUAUUAUAAUGAUAUAUUUUAGUGCCACAUAUCUCCCACAACUUUGAUCAACUGUAGAACGGUGAUGGUUCAUUCUGAUGUGAACAGCAAGUUUUAUUAAACACGUUAACUGUUUACAUUGCUUGUUGCAUAUUUUAAGAAUAGAAGAGAACAAAAUGCAUUACACUGACUAGCAACUACUGAACCAGUUUCAUUAGGUUAACUCGUCUCUGAGUUCUGGCCAAAGAAUGGAUCCAGCAUCAAGGUUAAUCUGUCUCUGUCGAGGCAGUCGGUCCCUUGAGGUCCACGUAUACAACAGAGACUUUUUGGACAUUCCCUAUAUCUCACUGAUUUCCUGGACUUUUCUCUCGUUGAUCUUUACUGCUGUGGAGUAAACAAGCAUCUCCAAUCACUGCUUAUCCAUGAUGCUCCUCAAGGGUCGCUGUGUGAGUUCCUGGACACAAUCAGGGAGUAAUGAAUGGAGCCAAAAGAGACGGGG